rnacentral:rRNA from 1 species
CGGACGGGUGAGUAACACGUGGGUGACCUGCCUUCGAGUGGGGAAUAACGCUGGGAAACCAGCGCUAAUACCGCAUACGCUCCGACUUUCACUAGUCGGAGGAAAGCUUAAUGUGCUCGAAGAGGGGCCUGCGGCGGAUUAGCUAGUCGGUGGGGUAACGGCUUACCGAGGCGACGAUCCGUAGCUGGUCUGAGAGGAUGACCAGCCACACUGGGACUGAGACACGGCCCAG